UACGGAGGGUGCAAGCGUUAUCCGGAUUCACUGGGUUUAAAGGGUGCGUAGGUGGGUUGGUAAGUCAGUGGUGAAAUCUCCAGGCUUAACUUGGAAACUGGCCAUUGAUACUAUCAAUCUUGAAUACCGUGGAGGUCAGCGGAAUAUGUCAUGUAGCGGUGAAAUGCUUAGAUAUGACAUAGAACACCAAUUGCGAAGGCAGCUGGCUACACGAAUAUUGACACUGAUGCACGAAAGCGUGGGGAUCAAACAGGA
rnacentral:rRNA from 1 species